AUUGAACGCUGGCGGAAUGCUUUACACAUGCAAGUCGAACGGCAGCACGGACUUCGGUCUGGUGGCGAGUGGCGAACGGGUGAGUAAUGUAUCGGAACGUGCCCAGUCGUGGGGGAUAACGUAGUGAAAAUUACGCUAAUACCGCAUACGAUCUAUGGAUGAAAGCGGGGGAUCGCAAGACCUCGCGCGAUUGGAGCGGCCGAUAUCAGAUUAGGUAGUUGGUGGGGUAAAGGCCCACCAAGCCAACGAUCUGUAGCUGGUCUGAGAGGACGACCAGCCACACUGGAACUGAGACACGGUCCAGACUCCUACGGGAGGCAGCAGUGGGGAAUGUUGGACAAUGGGCGAAAGCCUGAUCCAGCCAUUCCGCGUGCAGGAUGAAGGCCCUCGGGUUGUAAACUGCUUUUGUACAGAACGAAAAGGUUUCUACUAAUACUAGGAGCUCAUGACGGUACUGCAAGAAUAAGCACCGGCUAACUACGUGCCAGCAGCCGCCGUAAAAC
rnacentral:rRNA from 1 species